rnacentral:rRNA from 1 species
CCUACGGGGGGCUGCAGUAACGAAUCUUCCGCAAUGCACGAAAGUGUGACGGAGCGACGCCGCGUGUAGGAUGAAGUUCUUCGGAAUGUAAACUACUGUCAGGGGUUAGAAAGUUCUGAUCAACCCCAGAGGAAGUAGCGACUAACUCUGUGCCAGCAGUCGCGGUAAUACAGAGGCUACAAGCGUUAGGCGGAAUCACUGGGCUUAAAGCGUGUGUAGGCGGGCUUCUAAGUGCCUUGUGAAAUCCCACGGCUUAACCGUGGAACUGCUGGGCAUACUGGGAGUCUUGAGCCACCUAGGGGCAACCGGAACAAAUGGUGGAGCGGUGAAAUGCGUAGAUAUCAUUUGGAACGCCAAUGGUGAAAACAGGUUGCUGGGGGUGUGCUGACGCUGAGACACGAAAGCCAGGGGAGCAAACGGGAUUAGAUACCCCAGUAGUC